ACAUAAUUAUCACCUACCUUAACUUUGUCUCUAUCACUCUUCGGAUUUAUUUUACUAAAAUAAAUUUAUUGCAUUAAAAUCUAAAAACUUCACCAAUACAAAUACGCACUAGCCUCAAUUGUUCAACCAAUUUUUUUAAUUUUUUUUUUUUUGCAUUAGAUUCAACCACUAAUCCAAAUGUUUAGUAAUUUUAAUAUAAAAAUAAAACUAAUGAUCAUAGAUAUUUGAUGUAAACAUUCUAGUAAUGCAAGGAUAUAAGAUAACUAAUCUUAUUAAAAUAGAAAAGUACUACUAAUAGGCUGGAUUAUAGAAUUCAGUCUCACAAUUGCACAAUGCUACCCAUAUAUCACUCCCAAAUAAAGGGUUUAGAUAUCUUGGGUGAGAGCAGCAUUAGCUAUGUCAAUAANNN
rnacentral:lncRNA from 1 species